rnacentral:rRNA from 1 species
UCAAGUUGGAGCGGCGCAAGGGUGCGUAACACGUGGGUAAUCUGCCGUGAAGUUUGGGAUAACUUGCUGAAAGGCGAGCUAAUACCGGAUGUGGCUGAGGGGAGGCAUCUCUCUUUAGCUAAAGUUGGGGACCGCAAGGCCUGACGCUUCAUGAUGAACCCGCGGCCUAUCAGGUAGUUGGCGAGGUAACGGCUCACCAAGCCUAAGACGGGUAGCUGGUCUGAGAGGACGACCAGCCACACUGGAACUGAGACACGGUCCAGACACCUACGGGUGGCAGCAGUCGAGAAUUUUUCACAAUGGGGGAAACCCUGAUGGAGCGACGCCGCGUGUUGGAUGAAUGGCUUCGGUCCGUAAACCCCUGUCAUUCGCGAUCAAUGCGCAUUGUUUAAGAGAUGAUGCGUUGAUAGUAGCGGAAGAGGAAGGGACGGCUAACUCUGUGCCAGCAGCCGCGGUAAUACACAGGUCCCGAGCGUUGUUCGGAUUCACUGGGCGUAAAGGGUGCGUAGGUGGUGGCGUAAGUCGGAUGUGAAAUCUCGGAGCUCAACUCCGAAAUGGCAUUGGAAACUGCGCUGCUUGAGGGUUGGAGGGGGGACUGGAAUUCUCGGUGUAGCA